AUGCGGGCUAGGCAGUGGCCUGGGGAUCCUACUUAUUCUUUUUGUACAAAUAUUGAAACAACGAACCAUCUGUUCUUUAAUUGCCCACUUGCCCGCAUAGUUUGGGGCGUACUGGGAAUGACGGGUGGAGCAUCUUGCUGCCCCCGAUCGCUGUGGCAAAGUUGGGCGUGGCUGUAUAGGUUUUUUCCAGGAGGGGAAAAGUUUUAUAUGAUGAUUAUCGCUGCUGUUUGCUGGGGGAUCUGGAUCCUUCGAAAUAAAGUCACUUUUGAUAAACAUAUUGCUCGCACUCCGUUGGAGGCUGUUUUCACUGCAUGCUCUUUUAUGUUAUAUUGGGCAGGUUUACUUAAAGAAGAUGACAAGGUGAAGUUCCAGACGGGUGUGAAGAGAUUGGCUCAGGCGGCUGCUACAUUGGCGGAUAGAUCAUUUCCUCAUGGCAGACUCCGUCUCGGCGACAACGACGGGAUCCAGAUCGGCUAG
rnacentral:rRNA from 1 species